AUUGAACGCUGGCGGCAUGCUUUACACAUGCAAGUCGAACGGCAGCGCGGGCUUCGGCCUGGCGGCGAGUGGCGAACGGGUGAGUAAUACAUCGGAACGUGCCCAGUAGUGGGGGAUAGCUCGGCGAAAGCCGGAUUAAUACCGCAUACGACCUGAGGGUGAAAUCGGGGGAUCUUCGGACCUCGCGCUAUUGGAGCGGCCGAUGGCAGAUUAGCUAGUUGGUGGGGUAAAGGCCUACCAAGGCGACGAUCUGUAGCUGGUCUGAGAGGACGACCAGCCACACUGGGACUGAGACACGGCCCAGACUCCUACGGGAGGCAGCAGUGGGGAAUUUUGGACAAUGGGCGAAAGCCUGAUCCAGCAAUGCCGCGUGUGUGAUGAAGGCCUUCGGGUUGUAAAGCACUUUUGGCGGGAACGAAAAGGACUGUGCCAAUACCACGGUUCGAUGACGGUACCCGCAGAAUAAGCACCGGCUAACUACGUG
rnacentral:rRNA from 1 species